rnacentral:tRNA from 46 species
GCGGAAAUAGCUCAGUUGGUAGAGCACAACCUUGCCAAGGUUGGGGUCGCGAGUUCGAGUCUCGUUUUCCGCUCCA